rnacentral:lncRNA from 13 species
UCCAGCUUCUUAAAAUUUAUUUUAUUAUUUUUAGUAGAGAUGGGUUUCACCAUGUUGGCCAUGCUGGUCUCAAACUCCUGCCCUCAGGCUAUCCACCAUCCUCAGCCUCUGAAAGUGCUGGGAUUACAGGCUUCAGCCACUACACCCAGCCUGUUGUAAUUAUUAAUUCUAAUAGCUACUACUUAUUAGGCACUGACUGUAUGCAAGGCACUGUGCCAAAUUUUCUUUUUUUCUAGAGAUUGGGUCUUGUUCUGUCACCAUGGCUGGAGUUCAGUGGCAUGAUCAUAGCUCACUGCAGCUUUCAACUUCUGAGCUUAAUCAAUCCUCCUGCUUGAGCUUCCCAAAUAGCUGGGGUUACAGGCAUGUACCAUCACACUCAGCUAAUUUUUUAAAAUGGCUGAUUUUUUUUUUUCAGAGAUGGAAAAAGAAAAAAAAAAAAAAGAAAGAAAAGAAGAAAAGACAAAUAAUGUGAGGGCUUCCCCAAAUAGACAUCUGGUGCUAUGGUCUGAAUAUCAGUGUUCUUCUUAAAUUCAUAUGUUGGAACCUAAUACCCAAUGUGAGAAUAGUAAGAGGGUGCCCUUUAAGAAGUGACUGACUCAUGAGGAAUCCACCUUCACGAAUGGGAUUAGCGCCCCCUUUUAUAAAAGGAUCUUGAGCAAGCUCCUUUGCCUCUUCUGCCAUAUGAGGACUUGGUAACAAGGUACCAUCUAUGAUGCAGAGCGAGCCCUCCUCACUGUUGGGAUUCACUCGGGGUGGCUGGCAAAAUAUUAAGGGAAAUGUUAGGGAAAGUUGAUAAGAUUUAGUCUCUAAACUUUUGGAAGGCUGAAAGGUCUUUACUAACUUACGGAACGGGCUGAAGGCAGCCAGUUCUUACGUUAGAGCAUUAGGUCAUAAAGUGAAGAUUAGGAAAAGAAAAGCUUGCCCAGUUAAGUCUGUUUACCCAUAUUCCUUUGUCUCUCUUUACCCAUAUUCCUUUGUCUCUCUUUACUCAUAUAAACUGUGCUGGUUGGUCCUCCCAGUGGGAAGUCGAAGGGGAAUUACCCAUUAAUGGUGUUUAUUUUGGGCCCUGUAACAAAGACAUUUUGUCAUUCGUAAAACUACUCUUUUAACCAUGUCAUUUACCCACAAGCUUGUCAACUUAGAAC